rnacentral:lncRNA from 1 species
GAGCAUCCUAGGGACUCCAAAGAGCAAAUGAUUACAAAAUCUGUUGGAGUGAUUCACACCAGCAACAGCAGUUGAUCCAGUGUUUCAUUAGGACCAUCUUUGCUGGUCCUCCCAGGCCUUCUGAAUGUAAUCCUGAAGCUGUGAAAUUAUUUAUCUCAAAGGACAAGCUGGACUUGCCGUGAUAAUGGAGGGAAGGUCUGUUUACCAUGCCACAAAGACACUGCUGAGCCUCUGCUAAAGUGGAAGGUUGGAGGUCUAUUGAUGAGACAAGGAGAGACCUUGCUUGGGGAACAGAUUACAGAAAAAAUAUAAUCAGGUGUCCCAGCUGCUGUUCAAGCCUCUGUUUGCAAAGGCCCCUGGAUACACAAAUGUCUCCACAACCACAAACCAAAUAAAGGACGUGAUUGCAGAAUGCGGUACAGAAGUGCCUGGUGUGGAUAACAACCCAGCCUGGUAGUAAGAGUAGCACAUCUCAAUGCUGUGCACUGUGGUUAGGGUUGCUUUUCUCAGAACAGAUCUAUUCCAGCCUCCACAAACACACCAACAUCCAGCAACUGAAAUAAUUUU